rnacentral:rRNA from 1 species
GAUGAACGCUGGCGGCGUGCCUAAUACAUGCAAGUCGAGCGAACGGACGAGAAGCUUGCUUCUCUGAUGUUAGCGGCGGACGGGUGAGUAACACGUGGAUAACCUACCUAUAAGACUGGGAUAACUUCGGGAAACCGGAGCUAAUACCGGAUAAUAUUUUGAACCGCAUGGUUCAAAAGUGAAAGACGGUCUUGCUGUCACUUAUAGAUGGAUCCGCGCUGCAUUAGCUAGUUGGUAAGGUAACGGCUUACCAAGGCAACGAUGCAUAGCCGACCUGAGGGGGUGAUCGGCCACACUGGAACUGAGGCACGGUCCAGACUCCGACGGGAGGCAGCAGUAGGGAAUCUUCCGCGAUGGGCGAGAGCCUGACGGUGCAACGCCGCGUGAGUGAUGAAGGUCUUCGGAUCGUAAAACUCUGUUAUUAGUGAAGAACAUAUGUGUAAGUAACUGUGCACAUCUUGACGGUACCUAAUCAGAAAGCCACGGCUAACUACGUG